rnacentral:rRNA from 1 species
AGCAGUAGCCGCGGGAAUACGGAGGGUGCAAGCGUUAAUCGGAAUUACUGGGCGUAAAGCGUGCGUAGGCGGUUCGUUAAGUCUGUUGUGAAAGCCCCGGGCUCAACCUGGGAAUGGCAAUGGAUACUGGCGAGCUAGAGUGUGUCAGAGGAUGGUGGAAUUCCCGGUGUAGCGGUGAAAUUCGUAGAUAUUGGGAAGAACACCGGUGGCGAAGGCGGCUCACUGGACCGACACUGACGCUGAGGCGCGAAAGCGUGGGGAGCAAACAGGAUUAGAUACCCGGGUAGUCCCUGUCUCUUAUAC